CUUGGGGGGGGGGGGGAGGUUCCCUCAGCCUGGAUUGCGAGAGGGUGCAGGCCAGGACGAGGGACCCCACUGGUGCACG
rfam:Myotis davidii contig96249, whole genome shotgun sequence.